rnacentral:rRNA from 1 species
CACAAGCGGUGGAGUAUGUGGUUUAAUCGAAGCAACGCGAAGAACCUUACCAGGUCUUGACAUCCCGAUGCUAUUUCUAGAGAUAGAAAGUUACUUCGGUACAUCGGUGACAGGUGGUGCAUGGUUGUCGUCAGCUCGUGUCGUGAGAUGUUGGGUUAAGUCCCGCAACGAGCGCAACCCCUAUUGUUAGUUGCCAUCAUUCAGUUGGGCACUCUAGCGAGACUGCCGGUAAUAAACCGGAGGAAGGUGGGAUGACGUCAAAUCAUCAUGCCCCUUAUGACCUGGGCUACACACGUGCUACAAUGGUUGGUACAACGAGUUGCGAGUCGGUGACGGCGAGCUAAUCUCUUAAAGCCAAUCUCAGUUCGGAUUGUAGGCUGCAACUCGCCUACAUGAAGUCGGAAUCGCUAGUAAUCGCGGAUCAGCACGCCGCGGUGAAUACGUUCCCGGGCCUU